rnacentral:lncRNA from 1 species
AUGGUAAGAACACCUUUCCUCUGGGUGGAUCUUUGGCUUGUUCUUGGCCUUACAGCUCUUCUGAUGUCUGUGGUGGAGUAUCCAUUGGCCUGUAGAGCCCAGUUUAGGUCCACCUUGGAGGAGGUGAGGUUCGCAGAUUCUUUGUGCAUGGUCUGUCAGGGCUUUGAUUGUGCUUCUUUUUUGACUUGGGUGAUGGUUGGAGUUUUUAUGAAGGUAUCUAUCUGUGUGUGUAGGUUGUGCUUAUUCAUCAGUUUGCCUAUGCAGUCAGUGGUUCCCUUGAUGUAUGGUAAGAACACCUUUCCUCUGGGUGGAUCUUUGUCUUGACUCUCAUGGCUUGUUCUUGGCCUUGCAGCUCUUCUGAUGUCUGUGGUGGAGUAUCCAUUGGCCUGUAGAGCCCAGUUUAGGUGGUUUAGUUCACCUUGAAGGAGGUGAGGUUCGCAGAUUCUUUGUGCACGGUCUGUCAGGGCUUUGAUUGUGCUCCUUCAUUAUACCCUAAGAAAAAUCACACAGUUUUUUAAAAGAAAAACUUUCUUACAGUCCUUUCCUGAAUUGUCUUGGUUCUAAAUGUCUGUCUGAAUAAUAAAAGAAAAUCCUAAACUGGUGACAGAAGGAUAACCAAGAGGGGAGCAUUCCAGCUUUCCUACUGCAAAUUUAUUUCAAGGUCUUGGAGCUGCAAGCAAGAAGGCUUGAUCUUGUGUUCCCACCAUCAGUGGGAACAGGUGCUGGGGCUAAAAGAAGAGCCCAUCUUGCCAUAUUCUGGGUAUGGGCAGGUUCAUAAAGGGGACAGUGAAAAACAACUCAUAUAAUCAAUACAUCACAUUAUGAAAGUCUUUUUCCCCUGAGAAGUCAGCCACCAAAGGCAUGCCGAACAAAAUGAAAAUAUUCACCUAUUGUGAUGUCUUACUGGGUUCCUAUCCCCUGCUUAUUUCCUGCUUUGCUGUUCUCGGGUGGAAUGUUCCGUUGGCUCCUGUUUUGGGGGUGGAGCUUGGGACUCCCCUGUAGGUUUGGAUGAGAUGGUUCAGCCUGUGAGCUAGGCUCCAGAGGCUUUUUCCCCUCCUUUGGCAUUCCUGAGUAAAACCUCUUAGAGAUGGGUCUUAAGAUUUGGUCUGGGUUCUUUGACCUGGCAAAUUCAAACAGGCAACAUAAAUCACGUACUUACCUCAUAGCCUUGUACAUACCCUAUAGUCCUUACCUUAUAGUACACCUCAUAGUCAUUACAGUCAUUAUAGAUAGUGCUUAUCAUAGCCUUGUAUUUACCUCACGUAUUUACCUCACAUACUUACCUGAUAGUGAAGUACUUACCUCAUAGCCUCGUACUUACCAUAUAGUUAUUAUACCUCAUAGUUUACCUCAUAGCUUAUGUACUUUCCUUAUAGUUCACCUUAUAGUCAUUAUAGUCAUUAUAGAUAGUGCUUAUCAUAGCCUUGUACUUACCUCAAAGAUAGCAAAGCUUAUAGUUUACCUCAUAUUAUUUCUAAUACAGUAAAAGGACUGUUUUUUUAACCUCCAUAUUCCUCAUUACUCUUUAUAACUACAGUCAUACUUUCAAAAGUAUUUUACACUCCUAAUUUCCUCCUUUGCUGUGACUUCAGGACCACACACAUUAAUAUUAUUCACAAGGGUAUCUUUUAACACUUCCAAGCUUCCAUUGCUACAGAUACCACAAUGUUUCAAUUCUGAUAAACAUUUUGCCCAGUGGAAUGCAGCUCCGAUGUUUCGUUUUCAGUACCUGUUUAACAAAAGGAUCUCCUAUAAAUACAGAGAAAUGUGUGUCCUUUGGAUCACUGGAAUUAUGUAAAGAUAGCCUUUCUUCAGUGUUAGAUGUUACAAAACCCAUGUUCAGCAGAACUAUAUUAUACAUACCCACACUCAAUUUUCAAAGGCAUCAAAGAAGUACUAUACAUUCUCUUCAUAGAAGGGGGCCAGUGGGAAAAAAUAUCCCUAGUACACAGCUGAGACUGUAAAAAUGAGAGAUUUAUGUUGUGCCAAUAGAAAAAAUAUGAAUAAUAUUAGCAUUGCCAUUUUUUACUGAGAAGUAGUUCUCCCCUCUCCAAAGAUGCACAGACCAUUUCUAUAAAAGCAAUAUCUUUGUUCUUUGUGGCCAGUAGCCUAUAUCUAUUAGCUGCAUUUACACUCUGAACCUUGUGAUAAGCUCUGCUCAUUCUGUUCAGCCAUGACAAAUAAUAUAGUGUUUUCUACCAUGUUCUACAAAUCCGUAACCUAAUCUCCCUAUGGCAAUGAACCCACAUCCUCCCAGCAUGGGUGUUCUUUUGUCUAUGUGCAAGCAAUGUGGAAGGCAAACAGGAAGUCAAAUUGGAAUUCAUUAGAUAAAUAAAAAGGAACCCACUGACACUGAAUAGAGCAGUCAGUUGUGAACUAAAAUAACAUAUAGCUUUAUUUCUGCUUGGUGCUACCUAAAGCAGAAAACUGUUUUUUGUUGCUCUUCUGUGAAGCCAAUAAUAAUAUAAAGUAGCAGUGGGAAACAGGAGUCAGAGGUGUUAAGGGAGAAAAUAGCAGGAAAUAGGAGUAUAUGAGUUGGUGCAAGCAAUUCUGAUAACUGGGUGCACUUUCCAUUCAUGUGGUUUUAAAAUGUGUCUCCUCAGUGGUCAAAGUAAAUAGAAAUUGCUUUAAACUCUUUGUGAUUUCCAAUUUGGAAUAAGGCAAUAAAAAGGGAAAAUAGCAACAAAAACUGCAGAAGAGUUUGCUGUGGAUAUAAAAAAUAGGCUACAUAAGUAAGCUAAACUUUCACAAUUAAUUCUUAUAGUACUAUGUUCCACUUUAACUGACAUAGCAACUUCCCAUUUAAUCCUGAAAUUUGUAAUUUUGGGAGAAGCAUUUAGACUUAUCAGUCAGAGAGUUCCUGGGCCUGACUAAAUGACAGAACCCAGUAUUUCACAGGAUGUUGCCAUGGUAGCUAAGGUGAAAUAUAAUACUAUAACAGCAUAGUGUGAUGUCUUUGUAAGAUAUCAACACAUCUACCAAAGAUUUGCUCCCUGUGCUUUUGUGAUCUACAGGGUGAUGUCUUGUCUGAAAUGCUAUUCACAUAAAACUUUGGAGAGAAAUCAUUUGUUGACUUGGAGCAAAGUAUCAACAGUAUCUUGACAUUUUAAGCAAGAGCAGGAAUCAUACAGCUCUCUGUGUAUUGUUGGAGUGCAACUCCAGUAUUCCUCACCAGGAAUCCUUUACCAGGAUAAAGAUCAAUAAACUGAUCUUUAAUCCUAGCAAGAUGGUGAACCAGUUGAAGAAUAGUUUCCAUGAAGCAUCUAGAACAGACUUCAUACAUGUUCUAGAUGAGAUGCCAUCCUCUACCCCUACUCUUGAACAAAAAAAAACACCUAUAAACAAAAACUAGAACCCUAUCUAGAAGAAUUUUCCCUUUGUCUUACUUGGGUUAUUUUCUUCUGUACCAGCUAAUAAAGUUAUCCAAGCUUUUGAUAUUGUAAUUUAGACCCAGUUAAAAGUGUUUUAAAAUUUAUGCACAUGGUUAUUACAAUGCUAUAUAAAACUUUUUACACAGUGCAGUUUGAAACUUAGAAAAUUCUUGAAUUCUUAAUGUUUUGUCACUCAAAAACCAAAUAGAAGCAUGAACUCCAUUAACACAGACAGCUACCAAAAUAUCCAAAAAAAAUAGAUACAAAAUAGUGUUAAAUGAUUGCAUGACAAAUAAAGCUUGCUGAUUUUCAAGAUUCCACAAGGCUCUGUUGUUUUACUUUUACAGAAAGAGACAGAUAUCCCCUGAGCCUCAAAUCAUUCUAACAUCAACCCUGAGACACUAACAGAAUACCUACUCUGACAGCAACAUUUUCAACCCAGGAAGAAUGUCACCUCAGCUAUCUAGACUAUCUGUUUCACUUUCCACUUUGAUGGCAGUGACAUCGUCUCCUCUUUCCGUAUCAUCUUCUGCCCUGUUUGACACCAAUGGAUGUCCCAUGGAUCUGUGCACUUCCCCCCUCCUCUGGAGACCACAUAUUUCAUGUACUGGCCACACUAAACUGAGACUACUAAAACCUAUACACAAUCAGGCAAGCAGAUGCUGAAAGCAGCUAGCAGACUUUGUAUUUGGUAAAAAGAACAACCCUCAUGCCACCCCAAAGGAACCCCACUCCUGGAAGUCCAUGUAGGAGGAAAGGCAGCUGUGCCAAAUAGAAUCAGGGCCUCGGUUUUGCAAAGACCAGCAAAGUCCAUUGAUGGAGAAGUCAAGGUCCAAGGCAGCAUAAAACAAAACGUUGAGCCUUCAAAACCAUACUUUAAAGUGGAUACUGAAGACUUCAAAACAGCUAAAGAUUUUCUGUAUCAUGGCUCACUCAUUCAUCAGAAAGGAAACGGUUGUCAAAAAAACAGAAGACAGUUUGGAUGGGCAACUAUGAAAGAAAUAGAUAAGGUCUUCAAGUGUAACGAUAUAUAACUGAAUACGAAAGUCAAAAUUGUCCAUGCCAUACCAUUGUCAAUUUCUAUGCAUGGUAUAAAAACUGGAUAGUGAGAAAAAUGGAAGUCUGGGACUGUAGGAGAGUUCUAUAGAUGCCAUUGAAUGAAGGAUCCCCCCACUCCAAAAAAUGAGUCCAAGAGCAAACCAAACCUGACCUCUUUUUAUUUGAGGCUAUGACCUUUUUGACAUAUGAUGAAACAACUCAUAAGUCAUCAGGAAAGAAAAUAAUACCAGGAAAAGUAGAAGUCAUUAUGAAAAGUGGGAGACCUUAUUAUAGGUAGAUUGACUCAAACAUGGAAGCCAUGGCUCCAAGAUUGUAAAAGCUGAGCAGGAGUGUUAAGAACAGGAACCCCAUGGGAUUUCACAUUCAUUAGGUCAAAGAAAACUUGAUAGUAAUAAACAAGAAAGCCACUUUUCAUCAUAGACUGGGAAAAUGAAAGAUAUAAAUAUAAUCACCAUCAUCCUUGAAAAUAUCACAAUUCAGCUUCAUUUAUUUUAGAUAUAUAUGUGUGUGACAGAAAUAGAGGGGGGGGUGACCUGUUUCCUAUUCAGAUCCUAUUCAAGUGGG